rnacentral:rRNA from 1 species
CAGUCUUCUGGCUGAGAUUGUUGCGUGCUACUGUGAUGCCUGGCUGCUUCAACGCAAGUGUGGCAGUUAGAGUUGAUCAGCUGUGCGUGAUGUUUCUCAGCUUGUUAGUCAACCUUUGUUCGUGCUUGGGGAUAACUGCGGGUUCCAUGUUCUUCUCUGCGGAGUUGAGCUCGUGCCUGUAAGGACUCAGGUGUGUACAAUUGGUGACAAAAUGGUUCUCUUCGACCCGUCUUGAAACACGGACCAAGGAGUCUAGCACAUGUGCAAGUUCACAGGUGGCAAGCCUGCUUGCGCAAUGAAGGUGACUGCUGGGAUAUUUGCACCAGCAACCGACCAAUCAAUUGAGAGAAGUUUGAGUAUGAGCAUAUGUGUUAGG